rnacentral:misc_RNA from 1 species
AAGUCGUAACAAGGUUUCCGUAGGUGAACCUGCGGAAGGAUCAUUACCGAGUUAGGGUCUCCUCCGUGAGGCCCGACCUCCCAACCCCGUGUCUAAUAAACCUGUUUGUGUUGCUUCGGUGGAACGGCAGUCCCCCACCCCCCUGAUCGGGGGAGGGAGACCGUCGCCGGGGGAUUUCACGGUCUCACGACCGCCCCUGGAGAGCGUCCGCCGAUGGCCCCAACCAAAUAACUACCAAACCCAAAUUGUAACAAUCAAAAUUUUCUGAAUCAGACCUCUUGAUAUACCAAUCAAAAAACAAAA